rnacentral:rRNA from 1 species
GAUGAACGCUGGCGGCGUGCCUAAUACAUGCAAGUCGAGCGAACAGACGAGGCGCUUGCUCCUCUGACGUUACCGGCGGACGGGUGAGUAACACGUGUAUAACCUACCUAUAAGACUGGGAUAACUUCGGGAACCCGGAUCUAAUACCGGAUAAUAUAUUGAACCGCAUGGUUCAUUAGUGCAAACCGUUUUUGCUGUCCCUUAUAGAUGGAUCCGCGCCGCAUUAGCUAGGUGGUAAGGUAACGGCUUACCAAGGCGACGAUGCGUAGCCGACCUGGGAGGGAGAAUGACUCACAUGGAAACGAGGACCGGGCCAGACUCCUUAGGGAGGCAGCCGUAGGGAAACUUCGGAAAUGGGGGGAAGGCUGACGGAGGACAGCCGGGUGAGUGAUGGAGGUUCUCGGAUCUUAAAACUCUGUUAUGAGGGAAGAACGAAUGUGUAAGUAACUAUGCACGUCUUGACGGUACCUAAACAGAAAGCACCGGCUAACUACGUG